CUUUCCAGUCCAGGCCGAAUUUCUGUGGGCCCCAAGUCGAAGCCAACUUGCGCAACAUGUGAAGGAAUGAUAGGACAAAGCCAACUUGCUGGACACGUGGAAGGCUCACAUCAAAGGGACAUUGGAAUCCAACGGCUCCCUUUGAAAACCAAUGAUGCAUCUUCUUGUUUUUUUAAAUUCUGUAUCUAAUCUUUUGGAGCCUUUAAAAGUUGGCCACAUGUCAAACAAUGGGAACCAACCUUUU
rnacentral:lncRNA from 1 species